UACGGGGGGGCAAGCGUUGUUCGGAAUUACUGGCGUAAAGGGCUGGUAGGCGGCCAACUAAGUCGGAUGUGAAAUCCCCAGGCUUAACCUGGGAACUGCAUCCGAUACUGGAUGGCUUGAAUCCGGGAGAGGGAUGCAGAAUUCCAGGUGUAGCGGUGAAAUGCGUAGAUAUCUGGAGGAAUACCGGUGGCGAAGGCGGCAUCCUGGACCGGCAUUGACGCUGAGGAGCGAAAGCGUGGGAGCGAACAGG
rnacentral:rRNA from 1 species